rnacentral:rRNA from 1 species
UAAUAGCGUAUAUUAAAGUUGUUGCAGUUAAAAAGCUCGUAGUCGGAUGUCGGGCUCGGGCAGGCUGUCGGCCUCUGGUCGGAUGGCAGGCUCGGGUCUUCUUGCCUGGGGGCACCGUCACACUUAACUGUGGGGCGGCUGGUCGCAGGCCGUUUACUUUGAAAAAAUUAGAGUGUUCAAAGCAGGCCUACGCUUGAAUACAUUAGCAUGGAAUAAUGGAAUAGGACUUUGGUGCUAUUUUGUUGGUUUAUGGUACCGAAGUAAUGAUUAAUAGGGACAGUUGGGGCCGUUUAUAUUUCGUUGUCAGAGGUGAAAUUCUUGGAUUUACGAAAGAUAAACUUCUGCGAAAGCAUUCGGCAAGGAUGUUUUCAUUGAUCAAGAACGAAAGUUAGGGGAUCGAAGACGAUUAGAUACCGU